AAGAUUAUAAGUUAUAUAAACUAUUAACCUUCAAAGUUAAAAAAAUAAGUCUUA
rnacentral:tRNA from 1 species